AACGCACAUUGCGCCCCCUGGUAUUCCGGGGGGCAUGCCUGUUCGAGCGUCAUUUCACCAAUCAAGCCACGCUUGGUGUUGGGCGCGCGGCCCGCCUCCCCAGGCGGGCCCGCCCUAAACGCAUCGGCGAGCGGACCGACCCCCGGCGUGUUGAGAAUCCACGGGUUCGAGACGUCGGGAGCACCGGACCACUCCGCCGCGAAACAAACCCCACAAAGGUUGACCUCGGAUCAGGUAGGGAUACCCGCUGAACUUAA
rnacentral:misc_RNA from 1 species